rnacentral:rRNA from 1 species
UGGAAGCGGCGAGGGAGAGUAACGCGUAGAUAUCUGCCUCGAGGACCGGGAUAGCUGUGGGAAACCGCAGGUAAUACCGGAUAAUAUCUCCGGAUCAAAUGGUGAGAUUCCGCCAGGGGAUGGGUCCGCUUCCUAUUAGCUUGUUGGUGGGGUAACGGCCUACCAAGGCAACAAUGGGUACCGGGUGUGAGAGCAUGGCCCGGCUCACUGGGACUGAGACACUGCCCAGACACCUACUGGUGGCUGCAGUCGAGAAUCUUCCGCAAUGGGCGAAAGCCUGACGGAGCGACGCCGCGUGCGGGAUGAAGGCCUUCGGGUUGUAAACCGCUGUCAGUUGGGAGGAAAUCUAUGGGGGUUAUCCCCCAUAGUUGACCUAUCUUCAGAGGAAGGACGGGCUAAGUUCGUGCCAGCAGCCGCGGUAAGACGAACCGUCCAAACGUUAUUCGGAAUCACUGGGCUUAAAGGGUGCGUAGGCGGCCGUGUAGGUGGGAUGUGAAAGCCCUCGUCUCAACCGAGGAAUUGCGUUCCAAACCACAUGGCUUGAGGAGGAUAGAGGUGGGCGGAACUGAUGGUGGAGCGGUGAAAUGCGUUGAUAUCAUCAGGAACACCAGAGGCGAAGGCGGCUCACUGGGUCCUUUCUGACGCUGAGGGACGAAAGCUAGGGGAGCAAACGGGAUUAGAUACCCCGGUAGUCCUAGCUGUAAACGAUGAGCACUAGAUCGAGGGGACUUCCACAUUUUCUCGGUCGUAGCGAAAGUGUUAAGUGCUCCGCCCUUGGGGAAGUAUGG